rnacentral:rRNA from 1 species
UACAGAGGUCCCAAGCGUUGUUCGGAUUCAUUGGGCGUAAAGGGUGCGUAGGCGGCGCCGUAAGUCAGGUGUGAAAUCUCGGGGCUUAACUCCGAAACUGCAUUUGAUACUGCGGUGCUUUGAGGACUGGAGAGGAGACUGGAAUUUACGGUGUAGCGGUGAAAUGCGUAGAUAUCGUAAGGAAGACCAGUGGCGAAGGCGGGUCUCUGGACAGUUCCUGACGCUGAGGCACGAAGGCCAGGGGAGCAAACGGG